rnacentral:rRNA from 1 species
GAUGAACGCUGGCGGCGUGCCUAAUACAUGCAAGUCGAGCGAACAGACGAGGAGCUUGCUCCUCUGACGUUAGCGGCGGACGGGUGAGUAACACGUGGAUAACCUACCUAUAAGACUGGGAUAACUUCGGGAAACCGGAGCUAAUACCGGAUAAUAUAUUGAACCGCAUGGUUCAAUAGUGAAAGACGGUUUUGCUGUCACUUAUAGAUGGAUCCGCGCCGCAUUAGCUAGUUGGUAAGGUAACGGCUUACCAAGGCGACGAUGCGUAGCCGACCUGAGAGGGUGAUCGGCCACACUGGAACUGAGACACGGUCCAGACUCCUACGGGAGGCAGCAGUAGGGAGUCUUCCGCAAUGGGCGAAUGCCUGACGGAGCAACGCCGCGUGAGUGAUGAAGGUCUUCGGAUCGUAAAACUCUGUUAUUAGGGAAGAACAAAUGUGUAAGUAACUAUGCACGUCUUGACGGUACCUAAUCAGAGAGCCACGGCUAACUACGUG